GGUCUAAUUGGAGCUGUAGCCACCAGCCUACACCACAGCCACAGCAACACCUGAUCCGAGCUGCAUCUGCGACCCAUAUCACAGCUCAUGGCAAUGCUGGAUCCUUGACCCACUGAGCGAGGCCGCAACGUCAUGGUUCCUAGUCAGAUUCGUUUCCACUGAGCCAUGAUGGGAACUCCUCAUUUAUUAAAUGAACACAAAAGUAUUAGUAAUUUCCCAUAUUGCUUGUUACUUAUGAACUAAUUAUUUCUGGUCUCUGCCUUAUAAGUACAUUAGGAAUUCUAAAUAGUGUACCCUAUGCUGUUGGAUAAAAUUUGGAAAAAACUUAAAGCAUGGAUUAUUAUCAAAUAGAAUAAAGUAUGUUCUGUAGACAUCAUGUUAAUCUGCCUAUAUUGUUAUUGGAGUGAUUAGAGAAUAAUUGCAAAUGAAUGAAUUAAAACACAAGAGAAGUAGGGAGCUGAAUCAGCAAACCAGACUCAGCAAGGAAAUAUUUUGGCUUCUGUGACUGUGGGUCAAAGGAAGGAGGGAUUCUGAAUUAACUGAUUUAGUGGCUUAACCAUGCCAUCUAGGGCCCAGCUUCUUUCUUUCUGCUUGUAUGUCCAAACCAUCAACUUUAUCCUAAGGGUGCAUUUGUUUAUGGUUUUAGGAUGAUACUCAGAAGCAGUUAGGUCCCAGUACUGCUAAUUCCUAUCUACAGACAUUAUAGGAAAUUCCUCUAGAAGCAGGAGGAAGACUCUGUCACACCUGUCUUAUUGGCCUGCAGCUGUGUCACACGCCCAUUCCCAUACCACCCCCCAGCAAGGGGCAUGGAAUGUCUCUGAUUGGGCUACAUUGUUGGUUCUCAGCCCUCAAGGCUCAGUAUCACAAGGGAAGCUUUUUCAAAAUACUAAUACUUGGGCCCUUCUCAGGCCAAAAAAGUCAGAAUCUCUGUGUGUGGGGCCUGGAUAUCAGGAUUUUUUAAGUGCUCUCAGGAGGUUUUAAUGGCAAGACGGUUUGAAAAGCAUGGGCCUAUACUUAUUAGAAUUUAUCCAUUGAGCUGGAGAUUGGACAACUUCUGCUGGCUCAAAAGUCCUGAGUGUAAAAGGGUCAUGGAUUCGAACUAAAAUUAGGGCUUUGUUAAGAAACUGGAAAUGGGAAAUGGAUGCUUGGUAGGCAUUAAAUAUUAUUCACUCUAAAAGAGGUCUGCUAGUUACACUGUUUUUAAAUUUUAUGGGCACAUGUUUACUUAAUUCUCAUAACACCCUGAUGAGCAAGCUAUGAUAUUCACCAGUGUGUAAUUUUAUUAUAGCAUCUUGUUUGCUGCCAGUAUCUGUUCUGUUUGGUUAAUGUUCGAACUGUACAAGUUGAUAAAUAUUUUUAAUAUUACCUAUGCCAUUGAGUAAGAUGGCCUCAUAGUUUGUUGUCCAAAUUGAAACACUUUUAAGAGUGAAAUAGUUUUCCAUUUUUAAGGAUAUGACUCCAGGACAUUAGGAAUAAACUGGGACCAUCCUGGGGAAACCAAUAUACAUAAUCACUCUGUCUACCAGGUAUUACGUAUAGUACAGAAUUUGACUGUUUAAAGACAGGUCUGGCCUUUGUCUUGACUUCUAGAAUGUAAUCUGUGUGAUAGCUGAUGGGAAUGUCUUUGCUUAGUCCAGAUUUUGGCCAUACUGGAUCUUAGGAUGGAGAUGACCACACCUGAGAGUUGUAGGGUGGGGCUGGCCACAUCAGAAAGACAAACUAUGCAUUUAGGGUGGAGACUUUGGGUAACUGGGUAUCAGUUGACCUAGAGACAGAGUUCAACCAUGUGGUCAGUCAAUGAGGGUAGUUUUGGAAGCCUCCUAAACUUUUAGUUGGUGUCAGAAGGGAGGGCUGUGGUAGGGACUUUCCCUUCAAACUUCACAGUUUGGCUAAUUCUGGGUAUAUUAUCAGGCCUUUUUAGGAUGCUAAGUAACAUACCCAGUGUCUCAAAACUAAUGAAAUAUGGAGCUGAUUUUCACUCUCCAAAAAUGACUACUUCUAUGAUAUUCUAGUGUUGCUUUUAUACUUUUUUCUGCUUAUAAUUUCUUAUGUUAAGUUCUUUUUGUUAAAAUGAUUUUUUUUUUCUGUUUUGCUAACUGGAACUAGAAUGAUGCAACAGUGUUGGUAUUCAAAUAUUUUCUUUUUAUUAAAAAAUACCUCAAAUUUAUAGGAGACUCUCAACUACAAUACAAUACAAUACAAUACAAUACAUACAACACAAUACAAAAAUGUCUAGACUCCUGGAAUAAGAAAGUGGCGAAAGUUGCACUGAAACAGCUCUUAGAGCUUAUGGAUCAAUGUUUGACUUAGUCGAGUGCAUGGUCUUUCCUGGGGCCUAUCAGAGGCUUAAAGGAAUCAACUGCUCCAAGUCCUGGUUCCGCAAAGCAUCUCUCCUUUCCUGGACAUUUUGUAACACUCAGGCUGAGACCAAUAAGACUCAAGGCUCCAGGAGUGUGAAAAGAAAGCAGCCCAGACACAGUUUCCUUACCUUUCCUCUCUCAUUCUGGUUUCUGAGACCACCAGUUUGAUUCAGUAGAGGGACACACUUUAUCUUUUCCGGUUUGGGUCAUGCACAUUUUCCCUUUAGUUUUACUGUUCCUUGGAUAAGGGACAGUCAGUCACAGAUUGAUAUACCGAUGCAAUAAUUUCCCAAUCAUUUUGAGGAAUUGCUCAUGACCUAGUUUUAACUUUAAUGCCUCUUAUAUGUGCAUUGUACCAAGGUAAAAUUGGGAGAGUAACAUCCAGUAUUUGGUUCAUUAAUAUUCAUGCCAUAGAUCUAAUUGUGAAUGUGAAACUGCAAAGAGAAAAUACCUUACUUCUGAUUAAAUACCCUGGACAUGAUACAGCUAGCAGGUGGGAAUCAUAUACUUUUUCUAGUUUAUAAAAAUAUAACUGUAAAAGAUUAAUGCAGUCAAAUGGUAACUUGGGAUUGCCUAGUUUGAAUAAUUUCAGUGGACUCUGGGACAUAGGGGCCAUCCCUCAUUGCCUGGGACUUGCCCUUAGAGUGAUUUCAGCAGGUAUAUAGUGGCCCAGGCUGUGAGAGUCAGACAAGAAAGUAGACUGUGGAUUGAUUGGUUUGUAUUUGAAAAGCAUACCCCCCUCUUCCCCCACCCACCCCAGGAAAGACUCAUUCUAAGGGAGAUAGGGAAGGAGACAGGAGGCUAGGGCAGGGUGGUUUAGGCAUAUUAUUGGGUUGUCCAGAAAAAGUUAUAUCCAACUCAUGAAUCUGAACCUACAAAAGAUGUUAAUGCAUCAAGUUUACAGAGGCCAGAAGUAUGGUUAAUUCAGCCCUAUAAUACAUAGCCUACUUAUUCUUGUUGUAGUAGUCGACACCUAGUUAUAGACAUUCUGUCUACCCAAGGCUGAAUCACAGGCAUCCCCACUCCAAACUUCCAGGCUUGCACAUGCAGGACCAGCUAGAACAGGAUAGUAGAAAAUGCUUGGCUUUGGAAGCAAGAGCACUUGUAAUUAAAUACAGGCCCUUUUGCUUAUUAACAGAGUACAUCUAGGAAGUUAUUUAAUUUUCUUAAGGAUUGAUUUAAAAAAAAAAAAAAACAAAAACCUCUGCAAGUUAGCAAAUAGAAUCUACCUCAGCAUUUGGGUGAAGAUUUACUAUAAUGAAUAUAAUGUGUCUAGCACUUUAAUUUGUAUUUUUGUUAUUAUUAGGAUACAGAUAUUUGAGAGUCCUGAAAUGACAUCAAGGUUCAUGGGAACUUUAUAGUCAGAAAAACUGAAAGUAUCUGGAGCUAGUACUAGAAUUACUCUAGUAAAAUUGUAAGACUUACUUUAAUUCAUCUAUUGAAGCUAGAAUAUGUGUUUGAGUACUGCUUUCAUUAACCGUGUAUAGUGGUCUGUUAUCUAAUCUCUUGCAUAUUUGUCUUUUCUUUUUGUUUCCUUUAGACUUGAUAAGACACUUGUAUUGGAGUUCCCAUUGUGUCUCAGCGGGUUAAGAACCCGAUACAUUGUCCAUAAAGAUGCGGGUUCGAUCCUUGGCCUCGCUCACUGGGUUCAGGAUAUGUCAUUGCUGCAAACUGUGGCCUAGGUCACAGAUGUGGCUUGGCUUUGGCAUUGCUGAAGCUCCAAUUCAACUCCUAGCCUAGAAACUUCCAUAUGCCAUAGGUGUGGCCCUGAAAAGAAAAACAAACAAACAAACUUGAGUUGAAGUCACCAUCUCUCAAAAUUGAAUAUUCUUUGCUUUGCUAUCUUUUUUCUUUAGUAUUACAGAGAAAGCAAAUGCCUGAUUUUUGCUUAUUUCUACAUGUAUGUGUGUUUAUGUGUGGUAACUGUUCCCAUGUAUCCGUGUGCACACAGGCUGAAUGAGGAAUAUGUUAAGUGGAAAAAAAUGUUGAUGUAUGUCUAGGCAUGGUAUCUUAUUAAAUUUUCUCUUUUUUGGCAAAACAUUUCAAUCUUCAAAAGCAGUGCUUUUAGGUAAAAUAGUUGUCUUCCAUUAUUCCAUUAAUGGUUCAAUUCCUUUAAGCCUCAAUGCCGUCUCCAUAUUUUAGUCUUCUUAGAUGCUCUUUUCAACUUAAGUGACUCCCCUUUCUUCCCUGUCUUCCAUAUCUCUUAUAUUUCUCUAACCAUUUAAAUCUCUUUUUAUGCUUUCCCUGAAUCUAGAGUUUGCCUACUACUCUAAAAUUUGAAUUUCCGAAAAAAGUAACUUGUCGUUGCUUUUGUUGUUUGUGGUUUUUACCUCCGUGUCUGAUAUAGUUUCUUAGAAACAGGUCCUUUUGACUCCUAUUGUAAACACAUAUAGAAAUUCUAAAGCACUUUCUUGUUACUCGAAAUAAAUUUAUUAUUUUAUGGGAAGACAUUGCUCUGAAUUCUCAUGGUGAUCCCUUACUUUUGAACUACUUUUUUAUAUGCUUUAUACUGUUUUUGGUUAGCAGUUCCCUCAUGCCAAGGAAUGCUUUAGCUUGUGAAGGAUUGAAAGUUGAGAAGUAUUCUGUCAGACAUAAGCAUGAAGCAUAGCUUGAAAUUUUUGUGCCUAGAUGAAGGGUAAAGGACAGUACCAGGUGUCAUUUUUGCCAGUUUAGGACCCUUCAGCCUGUGGGGAAUGGGGAUAGAGCAGAAUCCAGAGCCAGAGUUGCAGAAGAAAGUCAGAGCCAGUUAUACUUGGGAACUGCACCCAGAAUUUCUUUUAUGUUUGUAUUCAUUCAGGGUUUUUCUGGGGGAGGGUCCCUACUAUUGUCUGGUAAAGCUGCACUCUUUAAGAUCUGAUGGAAUCCUUACCUCUACUCUUCACCAAGUGUGGCCCUCAGGACCAAUUCUGACUAGGAGGAGUGUCACCGUAGGGUUCAGAUAGGGCAUGGGCACCUCUGGUAUGAGAAGUGCUUUUGGUGACACUGGUGGGAUGGAAGAUUUCUCCUUCCUGCUCUCCCCACUUCCCCAACUCUUUAUCCCUUAUUAUCCUACCUCCUCCUACAUUUCCAGCCCUCACAGCUACUUCUCAGAGUUAGGCUGCAAGUUAGCAUCUUGUUAUAUAAGAUGGGAAAGAAUACAACUCUGCUGAGAGGAGCAUCUGGGCCCAGAGUUCAGAUACAUGGGGAAUUUGCUUGGUUGUUGGUUGGUUUUGCUUUAAGGGUUUUUUUCCUGUGACUACCCUCAGACAUUCAAUAUUAGAAUCUUGUGUUUGGGGGAGGGGAAUUAGAAGGGUAAGUAAGAAUCUGUAUUUUUAAAAAGCUUCCCAAGUGAUUGGAAUGAGGCUGAUCCUUGGAUCUGUGACAAUUAUUUGCAAAUCAUGAGUCCGAGAAAAAGGCCUGAAAAAAAUGUGCCAGUGUGUCUUUCUAAAAUUUUCUGAGCACCUACGUUAUGCAAAUUGCUCUGCUCUGUGUGGCUGCGUUGGAGAAAAAGAAGUACAAGGGGAGGGAUGUACUACUAAUUAGGCAGGAAUAAUUCACAUUUACCCAGUGCUUACCACACCCCAGGCACUUCACUUAGCACUUUAUGCACAUUAGCUGGGAUGAUCCUCACAGUCACCCUAUGAUUUGGAAACUAUUAUUUUCCUUCUACCAAUAGGGAAACAGAGGCUUAAAAAAGUCAAGGAGCUUCUCACUGUCAUAUAGGUAGCAAGUGGCAGGUCUAGAACCUGAACAUGUGUCUCCAGGCUGCGUUUUAAAUAGGCUCUAUUGGAGUUCCCAUCGUGGCUCAUCAGUAAUGAACCCAACUAGGAUCCAUGAGGACUCGGGUUCAAUCCUUGGCCUUGCUCAGGAGGUUAAGGAUCCAGCUUUGCUGUGAGCUGUGGUGUAGGUCGCAGACGCAACUCGGAUCUGGCGUUGCCGUGCCUGUGGCUUAGACUGGAAGCUGUAUCUCCGAAUGACCCCCAGCCUGGGAACUUCCAUAU
rnacentral:lncRNA from 1 species